rnacentral:rRNA from 1 species
GACGAACGCUGGCGGCGUGCCUAAUACAUGCAAGUUGAGCGAUGAAGAUUGGUGCUUGCACCCAUUUGAAGAGCAGCGAACGGGUGAGUAACGCGUGGGGAAUCUGCCUUUGAGCGGGGGACAACAUUUGGAAACGAAUGCUAAUACCGCAUAACAACUUUAAACAUAAGUUUUAAGUUUGAAAGAUGCAAUUGCAUCACUCAAAGAUGAUCCCGCGUUGUAUUAGCUAGUUGGUGAGGUAAAGGCUCACCAAGGCGAUGAUACAUAGCCGACCUGAGAGGGUGAUCGGCCACAUUGGGACUGAGACACGGCCCAAACUCCUACGGGAGGCAGCAGUAGGGAAUCUUCGGCAAUGGACGAAAGUCUGACCGAGCAACGCCGCGUGAGUGAAGAAGGUUUUCGGAUCGGAAAACUCUGUUGGUAGAGAAGAACGUUGGUGAGAGUGGAAAGCUCAUCAAGUGACGGUAACUACCCAGAAAGGGACGGCUAACUACGUG